rnacentral:rRNA from 1 species
AGGGAAUCUUCGGCAAUGGACGGAAGUCUGACCGAGCAACGCCGCGUGAGUGAAGAAGGUUUUCGGAUCGUAAAGCUCUGUUGUAAGAGAAGAACGAGUGUGAGAGUGGAAAGUUCACACUGUGACGGUAUCUUACCAGAAAGGGACGGCUAACUACGUGCCAGCAGCCGCGGUAAUACGUAGGUCCCGAGCGUUGUCCGGAUUUAUUGGGCGUAAAGCGAACGCAGGCGGUUAGAUAAGUCUGAAGUUAAAGGCUGUGGCUUAACCAUAGUACGCUUUGGAAACUGUUUAACUUGAGUGCAAGAGGGGAGAGUGGAAUUCCAUGUGUAGCGGUGAAAUGCGUAGAUAUAUGGAGGAACACCGGUGGCGAAAGCGGCUCUCUGGCUUGUAACUGACGCUGAGGCUCGAAAGCGUGGGGAGCAAACAGGAUUAGAUACCCUGGUAGUCCACGCCGUAAACGAUGAGUGCUAGGUGUUAGACCCUUUCCGGGGUUUAGUGCCGCAGCUAACGCAUUAAGCACUCCGCCUGGGGAGUACGACCGCAAGGUUG